UACGAAGGGGGCUAGCGUUGCUCGGAAUCUCUGGGCGUAAAGGGUGCGUAGGCGGGUCUUUAAGUCAGGGGUGAAAUCCUGGAGCUCAACUCCAGAACUGCCUUUGAUACUGAGGAUCUUGAGUUCGGGAGAGGUGAGUGGAACUGCGAGUGUAGAGGUGAAAUUCGUAGAUAUUCGCAAGAACACCAGUGGCGAAGGCGGCUCACUGGCCCGAUACUGACGCUGAGGCACGAAAGCGUGGGGAGCAAACAGG
rnacentral:rRNA from 1 species